rnacentral:misc_RNA from 1 species
GAUGAAGAACGCAGCGAAAUGCGAUAAGUAAUGCGAAUUGCAGAAUUCAGUGAGUCAUCGAAUCUUUGAACGCACAUUGCGCCCUGUGGUAUUCCGCAGGGCAUGCCUGUUCGAGCGUCAUUUCAACCCUCAAGCUCUGCUUGGUGUUGGGCCCUGCCCGCUGCGGCCGGCCUAAAGACAGUGGCGGUGCCGCCUGGCCCUGAGCGUAGUACAUCUCUCGCUCCAGUGCCCGGUGGUAGCCUGCCAGAACCCCAACUCUCGUGGUUGACCUCGGAUCAGGUAGGGAUACCCGCUGAACUUAAGCAUAUCAAUAAGCGGAGGA